UUUUCUCCCAGAGGGACCGGUCUCUCCUCAGCAGGGACCGGUCUCUUGCUGCGAACCCGAGAAACCAACGUUCGGGAACCGGUCUCUCCCUGCGCGAGGCCGGUCUCUCACUGCGUAGACGCGCUCGGGGACCGGUCUCGCCCGCCAGGGACCGGUUGCCUCAGGGCUGCCGCAACACUGCUCACUGGGGGACCGGUCUCUCCUUUCAGGGACCGGUCCUCGAGAGUGAAAACUCUCAGGAUUCGUCCAGAAUUCAGGUUUUCGAACUUUUUAGGUCGAAAAGCAUUCUACAACCCUCCACCAAGUGUAGAAAAGCUCGAAAUACAUCCAAGCACUCGAACCUCGUAAUUGGCAGAGGUCCAGUGUGUUACAUUCAUCCCUCCUAAAAAGGAGUUUCGUCCGCGAAACUCGAAAUGACAAAUACCUCAAGCCUCCAUCUGAAAAAGAUGGGGAUAGCGCUCCCGCAGUGCGCUUUCCAGUUCCCAAGUGGCCUCGCGCUCGUCGUGGUUGCUCCAAAGCACCUUCACGUAGGGAAUCUCGCGGUUCCGCAAUCGUUUUACCUCGCGAGCCAAAAUCCUCAAAGGUUGCUCCUCAAAGCUCAAGUCCUCCCUCAGCUCUAAAGAAGUAGCGUCCAAAACAUGAGCCGGGUCGUGGAUGUACUUCCGAAGGACCGAUACAUAGAACACAUUGUGUACACCCGAUAGGUUUGGCGGUAGAGCGAGUCGAUACGCUACCGGGCCUACACGCUCCAAAACCUCAAACGGUUCGAUAAAUCGGGGGCUCAACUUACCCCGGAUUCCAAAUCUUCUAAUUCCUUUGGUCGGCGAGACUUUCAAGAACACAUGGUCUCCAAUCUGAAAUUCCAAGUCUCAUCGACGCCGAUCAGCAUAACUCCUCUGCCUACUCUGGGUUGUCAACAAUCGCUCCCGAGCAAUGCGAACCUUGUCCUUUGCUUCCUGGAGCACAUCUGGGCCUAAAGCCAUUCUCUCGCCAACUUCACUCCAAUGAAGUGGCGAUCUACACUUCCCUCCAUAGAGUGCCUCGAAUGAUGCCAUCUUGAUGCUUGCUUGAUAACUGUUGUUAUAAGCAAACUCUGCUAUCGGUAGAUGCUGCGACCAUCCUCCCUGGAAGUCAAUCACGCAGGCUCGAAGCAUGUCCUCGAGAGUCUGAAUAGUACGCUCCGACUGCCCGUCACUCUGGGGGUGGAAAGUAGUGCUGAAAUCCAAGCGCGUACCCAAAGCAUCCUGAAGGCUCUUCCAAAAGUGAGGUACAAAACGGGGGUCUCGAUCUGAAACGAUAGAAGUAGGUACCCCGUGUAAUCGCACAAUCUCAUCCAAAUAAACCUGUGCGAGUCUCUCACCAGUCCAAGUAGUGUGGAUCGGUGUGAAAUGUGCCGAUUUCGUCAAUCUAUCCACGAUCACCCAAAUAGCAUCAUGCCCGGCCCGUGAGCGAGGCAAUCCCAUCACGAAAUCCAUGGUGAUCUUUUCCCACUUCCACACUAGAAUCGGUAGGCUCUACAACUUCCCCGCAGGAACUCGGUGCUCAGCCUUCACCCGUUGGCAAGUUAAACAUCUAGCCACAAACUUACCAACAUCCUUUUUCAUUCCGGGCCACCAAUAAAGCAACUUCAAGUCCUUGUACAUCUUGGUGCCUCCAGGAUGUAUAGCAUACGGUGCUCGGUGUGCUUCUUGAAGGAUAUCCUCUUUAAUGCCCAAGUCCGCCGGUACACAAAGUCGUCCGCGGAAACGCAUCAAUCCAUUACCAUCUAAAGUGAAGUCACCGGUGCAACCAUCAACCAUUUUAGCUCGAAUCUUUUGCAACUCCGAGUCGGAAGCUUGCUUUUCUUUAAUCCUUUCCAAAAGUGUGGGUUGCACCACCAAAGUCAUCAGUCUCAAAGGUGUAUCAGGAGCCACCACCUCCAACUCCAACCGCUUCAUCUGCUCGAUCAACGGCGGUUGAGUAACCACAAGCAUCGCUAAGUUCUCAGUCGAUUUCCGACUUAGCGCAUCCGCCACCACGUUAGCCUUGCCCGGGUGGUAAAGUAUCGUCAAAUCAUAAUCCUUGAGUAGCUCCAACCAUCUGCGCUGCCUCAAGUUCAACUCCUUUUGAGUGAAUAAAUACUUUAAACUCUUGUGAUCCGUAUAUACUUCACACCGCUCGCCAUAAAGAUAGUGGCGCCAUAGCUUCAAAGCAAAGACUACGGCCGCCAACUCCAAGUCGUGAGUAGGGUAAUUAUUUUCAUAAUCCUUCAAUUGGCGAGAUGCAUACGCGAUCACUUUCCCGUCCUGCAUCAAAACACAGUCCAAUCCAUUAAAGGAAGCAUCACUAUAAAUCACAUACCCAGCUCCAGCUGUCGGCAAGGUAAGGAUUGGGGCGGUCGUCAACCUCUGCUUCAACUCUUGGAAGCUCCUUUCACACACGUCGUUCCAAAUGAACUUAGUUCCCUUAUGCGUGAGCCUCGUGAGGGGAGUAGAUAACUUUGCAAAUCCUUCGACGAACCGUCGAUAAUAGCCGGCCAAACCAAUGAAGCUCCUUAUCUCGGUUACGCUCGUCGGCCUUGGCCAAUCCUUGAUAGCUUCUAUUUUCCUCGGGUCCACGGCUAUGCCUGAUCCUGAAAUCAAAUGGCCUAAAAACGCCACCUCUCUAAGCCAAAAUUCACACUUUUUCAACUUGGCAUAGAGCUUCUUUUUUCGAAGCACUUGAAGUACAAGUCUCAAGUGUUCAUCGUGAUCCACAUCACUUCGGGAAUAGACCAAAAUGUCGUCGAUGAACACCACGACAAACCUGUCUAAAUAAGGCUUGAAAAUACGGUUUAUUAAAUCCAUAAAAGCUGCUGGGGCAUUAGUAAGCCCAAACGGCAUAACGGUAAACUCAUAAUGUCCAUACCGUGUUCUAAAAGCCGUCUUCGAUACAUCCUCAGGUCUGAUCCUCAACUGAUGGUAUCCCGACUGCAAGUCGAUCUUGGAGUAUACACAAGAUCCCUGGAGCUGAUCAAAUAGAUCAUCAAUCCUCGGUAAUGGAUACUUGUUCUUGAUCAUGACUUUAUUAAGUUCACGAUAGUCCACGCACAAGCGAAGUGAUCCAUCCUUCUUCUUCACAAACAAAACCGGUGCUCCCCAAGGUGACACACUCGGUCUCACGAAACCCUUGUCCAGAAGAUCUUGCAACUGUGCCUUCAGCUCCUUCAAUUUUGCUGGUGCCAUCCUAUAGGGUGCCUUUGAGAUUGGAGUAGUCUCGGAAACGAGAUCUACCACAAACUCAACUCCCUAUCAGGUGGCAUGCCUGGAAGCUCCGCUGGAAACACAUCUCCAAACUCCCGCACUACGGGGAUAUCCUCAAUCCUAGGGGUGUCAUCCACACCCCGCAACACUACAGUAGCCAAAUAGGCUACGCAGCCUCUACUAAUCAACUGCCUAGCUCAAGAGAAGCUAAUCGUCAUCGCAAACAGCGAACUCUGGCAUCCUCGGUACACAACCUCCGCCUGCCCCAGCUCUCUAAACAUCAUCGUCCGAUUCUUGCAAUCGAUAGUGGCGAAAUACUUAGUCAACCAAUCCAUGCCCAACACGACAUCAAACUCCCCGAGUUUAUGCAAAGCUAGCAAGUCCACGGGCAUGAUCCAAUCUCCAACGCGAACAGGGCAACUGGGGCAAAAGUUCUGAAUGUCCAAAGAAUGAUCGGGUACAACAACUCGUCCCGGGUGCAACAAGGAUACAAGUGGGAUGCCAUGCAACUCGGCAAACAGCCGGUCUAUGAAUGAAUGCGAUGCACCGGUAUCAAACAAAGCUCUAGCUCGAAUACCAUAAAGUAAAAUGAUACCUGCGACCACAUUCUCGGCUGCCGCCACUUUCUCAGUCUGGGCCGCGUACAUGCGCCCGCUCAGGGCCUGUCGUGACCCCUCCACCUGUCGCUGAACUGGCGGCCGCCCUGCCUGGUGAUGCGCAGAAGAUGUCCCCUGACUAGGACCUGGCGAUGCUGGUGCAGAUGCCGAAGAUGGCGCUGGCAAUGAGCUCCUCGGGAAGUCCGACUGGAAGUGGCCCUCCUGGCCACACAAGAAGCACCUGCCCCGGCUGCGUGAACACUGCCGCGGGUAAUGAGGACCGCCACAGAUCACGCAGCGGGGUGCCUGGCGACGAUCGAGUCCUCAUCGCUGAGUAGACUGGCCACGUCCUCGUGACUGGUUCUGACUUCUAGGGUGCCUCGGCGGCCUCCGUGAGUGCGUCUGGCUCGCACCCUCAGCCGCGGGCCUCUUUCCCUUGCCCUUGUCUAGGGCCUCGCGUCGCUCCUGAAGGUCUACCGCUCUAGCCUCCACAAUGAGUGCACGGUCCACAACCUCCAGAUAGGUUUGGAGGUUGGAGGACUACACCAACCGAAAGAUCGAAGGCCGCAAUCCACGCUCAAAGAUGCGGGCCUUGUCCUCAUCGUCCCGGACCACAAAAGGUACACAGUGGAGUAGCCGAGAAAACUCUCUCUCGUACUCGGCCACUCACCACUCGUCCUGGCGCAAGCUACGCAAAUUCUGCUCCAUCUUCCUCUUGACGCUGGUAGGAAAGUGGUGCGCCAGUAGAAGCUCCUUGAAUCGUGUCCAAGUAAUUGCCGCCAAGUCGGUGUUGGGGUUGUCCUGGAUAUCCAGCCACCAACGAUAGGCCUCGCCGUCCAGAAAGUGAGUGGCGAGCCAAACUCUGUCCCUCUCCUCGACGAAGGUAUCUCGAAACAGCUUCUCCAUGUCAGCAACCACUUCUCAACAAUCCAGUGGUCGAUGUUCUCGCCAUCAAACGUCCUCGGGCUGUACCUCCUAAACUCACUGAGGCGAUCCAUGAGCCGAUCCGGCUCGGCUCCCUCGGCCAUCACGGGAAAUGCCGCCUCCUUCGCUGGUCUCUGAACAGGUAGUGCUGCAGCCACCUCCUCCCGAGGUGCGGUCGCCGGUGCCGGACGUGAAGAACUGGGCGCGGGGGACUGCGCCCUCGGUGUGACGUCCACUACGGGUGCUGGCGGUGUAGGACCUUGGGUCUCCCUCGAAGCUGCUGCCUGCUGAAGUAGGAGGUCCUCAAGAUGCUUCAUUUGCGCCUCCUGCCGCUGAGCCACCUCAGCCUGUCGCUGCGCCGCUGUCGUCUGCUGCGCCAACAGAUCAGUGAGAACCGAAAGCUAGGCCCUCAAGUCACGGACCUCACUAGAUCUAGAAGUAGCGGAGGUCUCGACCUCCUCGGGAUGUGCCGCAUCAUCCGCCCCGGCAGACUGGGAGCGUGUAAUCGGCAUCGUCACUACAGAACAUAAAAGUGCAAGUUAGUAACCCACACUAUCGAAUCCCCGCUCAAAAGAUAAAACUCAAAUCAUGCGAAAGUAAGGAAGUGUCCUUCACUACUAACUCCCGAUGUUACGUUGUCGGCCGCCAACGUAACCCUCCGCGAAGUCAGAAGCCAUACACUGAUCAAACUCUAACUUUUUAGAGUUAUAAUAAACCGAAUCGAAAUACUUUCGCUCACAAGUCAAUUAGACCUCGUCUCUCACGAGCCUAAUUCCUAUAGUCCAACCGGCCUAAGGUUCGCUAGGUCCACUAAGACUCAACUCUAGGCUCUAAUACCAAAUUAAUCUGUCACGCCCCGAGACCGGCGAAGGCCCUCCCGGUAGCGCGCCCAGACCAGCCAUAUGUCUACACAUAUAAGGCGUCUACAACAAAAGCGGAAGUAAAGCAAGGAGUAGAACAAAUAGCAUAGUGAUAACUAAUGAUAUCAGAGCGAGUAAAGUUCUAUCAUCUAAAUCAGAGUAAAAGAAACAUAACUAAACAAUAAAAGUAGCCAUAAAGUAGUACAAUACUGUCUCCUCAAAAGAAAAACAAAGAUCCAAAAGAAUGGUGGUCUCUAUACAUAAACGGGUACAACUCACAACCUCUCACAAAAUAAAACCACGAGAGGUAGACCACCUAUCAAAUCGUCCUCGAAGGAAGCUAGCUCGAAGCAACUCCCUUCCCGCGGUCCCUAGCCUCUCCCGGCGUGGAAGGCUCUGAAAGAAAACAUAAAACAGAGGGCGUGAGAACUAUAAUUUAUAGUUCCCAGUGGGCAAUUACUGACCUCAGCUCAUUGCACCACUAGGCCCAAAAGAAAAGGGUAAGUCAAAAGCAAUAGCAAUAACGAGUAAUUUGCAUCUAUGAAAGUAUAAUGAAAAUGCUAAAAUAUUACUUGCAAUUAAACAUGGCAUUUAUGUAAUGCACAAUUAUCUUGUCAUGGAGAAUAUGUCUCUACUUAGCCAUAAAUAAUGUCAUGGUUUGCUUAAUGAAAUUAUGAGGAUUAUCCUUUAUCAUAGCAACAUUGUUUAUAUGAAUGCAAGUAAGCAAUGUCUCCUAGCAUACAACAUGUAUGUAUGUAUACCCAAAGUCCAAAUCUAUACUAGAAGCAAGUCCGAGUAAUCCAACUACUACUCUCUAUUUAGUAGUGAUUAUAACAAACUCACCCCGUGUCGAUUUCCAUUUCCCAUUAAGGACCUACCAAAGGUAGUCCAGCUUGUGCCGCCUAAGUGCCUGUGGUAGCCCAACAUCCCUGCUCUUGGAAUGUGUCUGUCCCACUCGACCGCGUAGGCUUAUAAAUACCGCACGAGCAAACAUAAGUCCGUAGGCUAACUCCGGAGUGCCAGCUUGUAGGGAGCGACCCUCACGAGCAUGUGCGAAUGAGCACAAAUGGCAAGCAAGCAAGGUCAAAGUCUCAAGUACUCUACGCUCAUGCCUCUCACAUAGCAAGGUCACUAGCAUCCCAAGGAUCUAGUCCAAAGUCUCAAAGUGACGCUCCAACGCACAUACUUGCUUAGUGCCUCUUUAUGACACUUAAGCAUCACAACUAAUCAUGCCCAAUUCAUGUUCCAUAUUUCAAUUAAAACAAUACUAGCUAGGUUCACUUUGGCCCGGGCCCAAUGCCUCUUUAUGACAUUGGCCCAAUCUCUCAAAUAGUCUAAGUCCUCAAGACUCUCUAGGCUUCCAAAAAUCCCUAAUGUCACAAGUGGCAAAUAAGCUAAAUGCAUGAAAGCAAGGUCCAUUUUCAUAAUAGGGAUCUUAGUUUCAGUCUCAACCAGAAUGCUAUAUCACACAUGCAUGCUCUCUACUACAUAGAGGCCCAAAAUUUUACUAUAUGCAACAUAGGCAUUUUAAGCAUUCUAAAAUUCACAAUAAAUACAUAUAACAAGAAUAUGCAUGCUUUUUCAUUUUAUAACACUUAAAUCAUCAACAAUGAGAUUUUCUCAUUGUGUGGCUAGGUCAAACCCACCGAACCGUCGCGUGCUCCUUCGAUUCGCCGAACGGAGUUGUCCACGAGUCUCAAAAUACCCUAAAAGUAUUGAGCGAAGAGAUACACGGGCAUUACGAUCAACUAUAGGAUCAAACAUUAACCAUCUCAAAAAUAGGGUCAAAACUCACCUCUAGUGCAAAAUCUCUUCCUAAGCUCCAAAAGAGAGCUAAAUCCCUUCCAAUCCAACCCAAAGGAAGGCUCUAAUCCAAGUGAUCAAGCUCCAAAAGCCCUAGAUCAAAAAGCCCCAAAAUCAACCCUAAAAUCUCAUUCUAGGGUUCCAACACAAGAAAACCUCAAAUCCAAAGUCUAGAUGGAGAGAAAGGGCUACCAACCUCUAAGAAGCUUCAAUCCAAGCUCAAAGGGUGAAGAUCUUCUCUCUUGCAAGCUCCAAGUCCAAGCACCAAGCACCAAGGAAGAAGAUAGGGUGAGGAAGAUGCUCCAAGUCCACUAGUAGCUCUCAAACUUCUUCUUCUUCCCUCCUUCUUCCCCUUCUCCUUCUUCUUCUUCUUCUCUAUCAAGGGUGUAGAGAGAGUUGAGAGAAGAGAAAUGGGGAGAAGAGAGAGUGGAUGGGUCAUAUAGACCCUCUAUUGUAACAAAAUCCAACUAGGUCCCUCAAAAUUCUAAUAUUGCAACAGCCCGGUCUGGGCAGUUUUCGCCCAGAGGGACCAGUCUUUCCCCAGCAGGGACCGGUCUCUCGCUGCGAACCCGAGAAACCAACGUUCGGGAACCGGUCUCUCCCUGCGCGGGACCGGUCUCUCACUGCGUAGACGCGCUCGGGGACCGGUCUCGCCCGCCAGGGACCGGUUGCCUCAGGGCUGCCACAACACUGCUCACUAGGGGGCCGGUCUCUCCUUUCAGGGACCGGUCCCCGAGAGUGAAAACUCUAAGGACUUGUCCAGAAUUCAGGUUUUCGAACUUUUUAGGUCGAAAAGCAUUCUAC
rnacentral:lncRNA from 1 species